rnacentral:rRNA from 1 species
GAGUUUGAUCAUGGCUCAGAACGAACGCUGGCGGCAGGCCUAACACAUGCAAGUCGAACGCUCCAGCAAUGGAGAGUGGCAGACGGGUGAGUAACACGUGGGAACCUUCCCUAUGGUUCGGAAUAGCUCAGGGGAAACUUGGGGUAAUACCGGAUAAGCCCUUCGGGGAAAGAUUUAUCGCCAUUGGAUGGGCCCGCGUCGGAUUAGCUAGUUGGUGAGGUAACGGCUCACCAAGGCGACGAUCCGUAGCUGGUCUGAGAGGAUGAUCAGCCACACUGGGACUGAGACACGGCCCAGACUCCUACGGGAGGCAGCAGUGGGGAAUAUUGGACAAUGGGCGCAAGCCUGAUCCAGCCAUGCCGCGUGAGUGACGAAGGUCUUCGGAUUGUAAAGCUCUUUUUGGCGGGGACGAUAAUGACGGUACCCGCAGAAUAAGCCCCGGCUAACCUCGUGCCAGCCGCCGCCGUAA